GCACUCAGAACAGGCACCUGCAUCGGCGCUUGAACAGCGCCUGAAUGGCGCUCGUAACGGGGGCUUGCAGCGGCAAAGAUCAGCGCUUGAAUGGCACUGAAAUGAGUGCCUGAAUGAUGCUGGAAUGAGUGCCUGAAUGGCGCUCAGAAUUGGGGCUGAAUAAUGCUCAGAAUUGGCGCCUGAAUGACGUUUGGAAAUGGCACUUGCAGCCCCUUUGACCAGCACCAGCAGCGGCGCUUUAAUGUCGCUUGAAUGUGGGGCCUGUAGUGGCUGAAACUGCAGCCCCAAAAGCACCGAAAAUGGCUCUUUUGGAACGCCUUAAAUGGUGCCUGCAGCGACGCUUUGAAUAGCACCUGCAGUGGUGCUUAAUGGUGCUCUAAAUGGGGCUCGAAAUGGCGCAUGUAGUGAAUAUAUAUAUAUAAUAUAUGUAUGUAGAUAGAGAAAGAAAUGGGUUUUUAUGGUGAAGAAAUAAUCUAGAUCAAAGACGUUGUAGUUGAAUGGGUGGCAUGGCUGUAGGUGGAAGUAAACCACAAAAGCUGAACCAUUUCACCCAAUUUCUUGUUCUAUUUGAUUUUAUUUCCAGAAAGGAAACAAUUAUCUAAGCAACUAACACCAAGGCAGAGGCAAGAUUGCAAGGCUCUGAUACCAAAUGUAAGCAAUUCAUAAUGCAUAUAAACAAUCUUAAUUUGUAACUUAUGCCAUACUUACCUCCAGCCAUUGUUGGGUUGCAAGUCUUUGGUUUCCAAAACUCUAUCUCUCCUUAUGGAUGGUGUAGUUUCUGAAGAUUUUCAGCAGCAUGAGAGAGGAGCUCGGGACCAAGACCGAUAUUUAAAAUACAAAGAAAACGUGGCUUCCCAUCAAAGCCACGUUUCUCUGAUUUGCCACACGAUGAGCAGUUGAGAGAAACGUGCUCCUUAACAGCAGCUACAUGAUGAAGGACGUGGUCAAGUGUUGGACCACUUCAGGGCAGCGGAACGUGGGUGAUUUGAUAACAGUCACCUCAUAUAGUAAGUUGUUCAAGGAAGAAAUAUUCCAUUUGCCUCCAAGUUGACAACUCCUCAACAUCGCUCCACAUUCUAUAAAUGGCUAGCUAUGAAGGUAGUAGAGAAAAGAGAAGCAUUAAGUAGAACAAUUUAAGAGUAGG
rnacentral:lncRNA from 1 species